rnacentral:lncRNA from 1 species
ACCCACAGAAAAGCCAGUUCAUACACCUCCUUAAUGAGAAAGGAAAGCAGAGGCUGACAGAGAUGAGGGAGAGAAGAGAUUCAGGGCCAGGGCCCACUCCGCUCUGCUCCGUGCCAAGGCUCCUGAGAGUUUGACAUUUGGAAAAGAUCUGGCCUGGUGGAGCCAAGGAUUUGGGACAGGGCUCUUUCCGGCUCCCGGGAGUGUCAAGAAGAAGAGAAGGAGGAGGAGGAAAAUGACUCAGCUGAAAUGAAGAGAAAUGUAUUUUUAAAAAGCGAAACGAUGAAAGGCACAAAGGAACAAAAUGGAGCCGCAGGAUGGGGUCCAAAUGCCUUCUCAGAGGAAGUGGGACGAAGCUGCAACAAGCUUGAGAGCUCACUAGGGUUUCCAAACCAAGAAUAACACCACGAAAAUGAAGAGAGUCUUCGGGGCCGGCCAGGUCUGUGGUCCUCAGGGGCUGGUGCCCACCUCUGCAGGAGAGAUGCUGAAAGCCACCCAGCAGCCAAGGUCAGAUGACCCCGAUUGCAAAAGCUUCAUCUUGAAAUAUUCAGUGGAGAGCAAGCAUGAUAAUGAAAAGAGAUGGGAGAACGAAGAGAAGCCCAGCUCUGCGUCUCCCUUCCCCUGGGUCAUCUGGUCCCCCUUCUCCAAAUCAUCAGAGGCUAAGCAAGGGACCUCCGAACCAGCCCUGAGACCAUGA